rnacentral:rRNA from 1 species
GACGAACGCUGGCGGCGUGCCUAACACAUGCAAGUCGAGCGAGGGGAGUUCUUCGGAACAAACCUAGCGGCGGACGGGUGAGUAACACGUGGGCAACCUGCCUCAUAGAGGGGAAUAGCCUUCCGAAAGGAAGAUUAAUACCGCAUAAGAUUGUAGCUUCGCAUGAAGUAGCAAUUAAAGGAGCAAUCCGCUAUGAGAUGGGCCCGCGGCGCAUUAGCUAGUUGGUGAGGUAACGGCCCACCAAGGCAACGAUCAGUAGCCGGCCUGAGAGGGCGAACGGCCACACUGGAACUGAGACACGGUCCAGACUCCUACGGGAGGCUG